rnacentral:rRNA from 1 species
GUAAGGCCCCUUCGGGGGUACACGAGUGGCGAACGGGUGAGUAACACGUGGGUAAUCUGCCCUGCACUUCGGGAUAAGCCUGGGAAACUGGGUCUAAUACCGGAUAUGAACUCCUGCCGCAUGGUGGGGGUUGGAAAGUUUUUCGGUGCAGGAUGAGCCCGCGGCCUAUCAGCUUGUUGGUGGGGUAAUGGCCUACCAAGGCGACGACGGGUAGCCGGCCUGAGAGGGUGAUCGGCCACACUGGGACUGAGACACGGCCCAGACUCCUACGGGAGGCAGCAGUGGGGAAUAUUGCACAAUGGGCGAAAGCCUGAUGCAGCGACGCCGCGUGGGGGAUGACGGUCUUCGGAUUGUAAACCCCUUUCAGUAGGGACGAAGCGCAAGUGACGGUACCUGCAGAAGAAGCACCGGCUAACUACGUGCCAGCAGCCGCGGUAAUACGUAGGGUGCGAGCGUUGUCCGGAAUUACUGGGCGUAAAGAGCUCGUAGGCGGUUUGUCACGUCGUCUGUGAAAUCCCUCGGCUUAACCGGGGGCGUGCAGGCAUACGGGCAGACUUGAGUACUACAGGGGAGACUGGAAUUCCUGGUGUAGCGGUGAAAUGCGCAGAUAUCAGGAGGAACACCGGUGCGAAGCGGGUCUCUGGGUAGUAACUGACGCUCAGGAGCGAAAGCAUGGGUAGCGAACAGGAUUAGAUACCCUGGUAGUCCAUGCCGUAACGGUGGGCGCUAGGUGUGGGGUCCUUCCACGGACUCCGUGCCGU